rnacentral:snRNA from 1 species
ACGCUAGCUGCGGCAGCACAUAUACUAAAACUGACACAGUACAAAGAUUAGCACGGCCCCUGCCCAAGGAUGAUAGGCAAAUUCAUGGAGCAUUCCAUAUUUUU